UCCCUGGCGGUCCAAUGGUUAGGACUCAGUACUUUUACUGCUGUGGGCCUGGGUUCAAUCCCCAGUUGGGGAA